CCCCCCCCCCCCUUUUUCGGUAAAAUGAAAUCGGUAACCACUUGGGCAGUGGUUUACCGUUCGGUAAAACUGGUUUGCUGUCGGUGAACCUUUCCCACACCGUAUCCCCUUAGUUGAGAAUUAUAUUAUUGCUAUUUUGUUGAGGAUUAUAUUACUAAAUUAUUGUUGUUAGAAGCUUUUCAGAAAAUAGAAAACAAUGUUUGGCAAACGGGUCAGAUUAGGAUAGAUUUUUAGAGCACAAACACUGAUUCAAUCAUAUAAACAUUCUUACAUUUUGCGUUUAAUAAUCGUUUUUAUAUUAUCAUAUCAACUCAUAAACUAGUUUUAUGCCCGUUCUAGGUUUCCCAAAAUAAUAAUAAAUAAACUUACAAACUUAUUGGACACUGACCAACACAACAAAAAUAGUUUACUUCGAAUAUAAAAAAACAUGAGCGAGAACUACUGCUUAAAUCGCUUCGGCUUCUUCUGGAACGCCUCCUACAAUUUUCAAAGUUUCAAAUCUCAAGAUUAUAACGUCUUACAACACCUUUCGACAUAAAAUAAGUUUCCUCUUCAAUUGCUUGUGCCUCAACCUCCUUUUAAGAGCUCGGCUUGGGUGCGAUGUUCAAUGAGCAUGUUAAACAAAUUAAAAGAAAACAUUUUCAAAAAAUCGACCCACUUAGUGAUCAUCAUUCAUUCUUUCAGAAGUUUUGUUACAUUUCAAACUUUGUGGCAUUCUAGUCAAAGUCAAAAAAUAUGAAUGUAAAAAAUAAAGGCGUUUUGUUAAAAAAGAAAAAUCAAACUGUUGUGAAGCAAAAAGAAAACAAAAUAUCCAUCGAUUAAAAAAACAGAAAAUAGGCAUGUGAAUAAAUCGAUGGUAAAUACUAAAUAGCCAUGUCGCAAACAUACAAACUAUUCAAUUGGCUUUAACAAACUAUUGUUUGAAAUUUGAAUCAAUCGUGGAGAUGAAAUAUAUGUUUCGCGUUCGAAGUAGACUAGAUUGGUAAUUGGCAAUGUCGAUUCAAUGGGAUGGCGAUUCAGUUUAGGAACAGGGGCAGAGAAUUUGGGAGGAAGUAUGCCUUUUUUUUUUUUUUUAAUA
rnacentral:lncRNA from 1 species